rnacentral:rRNA from 1 species
UGCGUAACGGCGUGGGAAUCUGCCUUUAGGUUCGGAAUAACAGUUAGAAAGGGGUGCUAAUACCGGAUGAUGUCUUCGGACCAAAGAUUUAUCGCCUUUAGAUGGGCCCGCGUUGGAUUAGCUAGUUGGUGGGGUAAAGGCCUACCAAGGCGACGAUCCAUAGCUGGUCUGAGAGGAUGAUCAGCCACACUGGGACUGAGACACGGCCCAGACUCCUACGGGAGGCAGCAGUGGGGAAUAUGGACAAUGGCGCAAGCCGUCCAGCA